rnacentral:rRNA from 1 species
UUACAGUAAUGAGUAAUUCUAUACCCCUAUAGAACUUUUUAUGUUAAAACUAGUAAUAAGAAGAUGACCCUUCUCUUAAAUGCAAACGUACACCAGAAAGGACACACCACUGGUAAUUAACACCCAUGAGCUGCUAAUAACAACGACAUGGAAAACCUCUAUUUUUUAUGAUGUUAACCUAACACAAGAGCAUUAAAAGAAAGAUUUAAAGGAAAAGAAGGAACUCGGCAAACAUUAACCCCGCCUGUUUACCAAAAACAUCGCCCCUCGAACAAACAUGAGGGGUCCAGCCUGCCCAGUGACUCUGUUCAACGGCCGCGGUAUCCUGACCGUGCAAAGGUAGCGUAAUCACUUGUCCUUUAAAUGAGGACUGGUAUGAACGGCACCACGAGGGUUAUACUGUCUCCUUUUUCUAAUCAGUGAAACUGAUCUCCCCGUGAAGAAGCGGGGAUAUUUAUAUAAGACGAGAAGACCCUAUGGAGCUUUAAACGAAAUGACAGCCGCCAACCCCCUCAAACUUCAGAGCACCCACCUUUAUUCUGGCGGCAUGAUUAUUAGUUUUAGGUUGGGGUGACCACGGAGAAUAACUCAACCUCCGUGUUGAAAGAGGACCUUCCCCUAAGCAAAAAGCCACACCUUGCUGCAUCAAUAAAUUGACACCCAUUGACCCAAUAUUUUGACCAACGAACCAAGUUACCCUAGGGAUAACAGCGCAAUCCAUUUUGAGAGCCCAUAUCGACAAAUGGGUUUACGACCUCGAUGUUGGAUCAGGGUAUCCCAGUAGUGCAGCCGCUACUAA